CUUCACACGUCCAGAGUGGUGAAAACUGAAAUCAGUUUAAUCCUUUAGAGCUAAGCUUAUAAUAAUAAAAUUGCCAAAAAAAAAAAAAGAUACCAGUGGGAUAGCAAAAGAUCAUGAAAUGAAACAGCAGGAUGACUGGAGGAGUGAUUUCUAAGCUACUCUCUGUAUGGUUUUUGAUGAUUGAAAAGACCAGUGUAUUAUUGCCUUCUGAGAUAUCCAUGGAAUGAAUGGAAUAAAUGGAUACUUUUCAGACUUGCCAAAGAAGCUGCUUAUUUCACAGGAGGACGGUGCUCGCUGAAAGAUGCUUCCUUGAAACUGAGAGAUUGCUUCCUUAGACAGGUCUCCUUGAAGAGGUGCUAUGGACAGAUACCCCGGAAACUGAUAUGAGAUGGGAUUUCACCAUGCUCAUCAGGCUGGUCUUGAACUCCUGACCUUGUGAUCCACCCGCCUUGGC